rnacentral:lncRNA from 1 species
AGCUGUCUUAUAUCCUAUGCUGCAGGGGCCCUGGGGAGUAAGCCUGUCUUCUGUCAAGGAUGCUCCUGCCAGCACGGCCUCAAGGUCCUGGCGUGGAGGGGCCCAGGACGGGCUGAGCCAGACUUAGUAUCACAUGGGAAGACAAGUCACUGGUGAGAUCCUCAGUCAGUGAGGAUCGGGAGGGGGAGAAGAUCUUUCCAAAGUAUCCCACCUGAAUUCUCAAUGACAGGCCCCAUACAAAGCAUCAGGUGGCGUCUCUGAUAACAGGGAUCUGUCGGUGACAUUGGGUACACACCAGGCUUUGACAGAAACAAGACCAAGAAGACAUUAAAACUCUAAAGUUAAAUUAAUAGAGAAGAUUCUCCGAGAUGCUAAACCACGUGG